rnacentral:piRNA from 1 species
UGGAAGAAGACCUGCAUAGUGAAAGUGU